rnacentral:sRNA from 1 species
CUUGUGGAGAAUACAAGAACUUGUGAGUAGAUAUGAUUUUGUCAAUCGAAAACAUAUUCGUUGAAGCAAGAA